AACGAACGCUGGCGGCAUGCCUAACACAUGCAAGUCGAACGAGACCUUCGAGUCUAGUGGCGCACGGGUGCGUAACGCGUGGGAACCUGCCCUUAGGUUCGGAAUAACUCCCCGAAAGGGGUGCUAAUACCGGAUAAUGUCUUCGGACCAAAGAUUUAUCGCCUUUGGAUGGGCCCGCGUUGGAUUAGCUAGUUGGUAGGGUAAAAGCCUACCAAGGCGACGAUCCAUAGCUGGUCUGAGAGGAUGAUCAGCCACACUGGGACUGAGACACGGCCCAGACUCCUACGGGAGGCAGCAGUAUAGAAUAUUGGACAAUGGGCGAGAGCCUGAUCCAGCAAUGCCGCGUGAGUGAUGAAGGCCUUAGGGUUGUAAAGCUCUUUUACCCGGGAUGAUAAUGACAGUACCGGGAGAAUAAGCUCCGGCUAACUCCGUG
rnacentral:rRNA from 1 species